ACCGUGCGCUCCUAGAUGUUUAUUGGUUUGGUUUAAUUAUAUCACAACCAGAAAGGAUGCAGCUCCAGGCUCAGAGACAGAUCAAGUCAGAGAUGGAAGAGGAGUCUCAUUGUUUAAGGGAAAGGAAAGCAUCAUUAAUAAUCUGCGUGGAUACAUUUGGAGGGGAGAGAAGGACAGGGCCACGCUGAUUGUCAGUUCACAGGUCCGCCAGAAAUAGAGCGUUUACACUGCCACAAAUUGCAGCAGCAUAUAAUAUGAAUGGUGUUAUACGUAUAUUUAUUUUUACUUUUCACACAUUUUUAUUAAUGUGUUUUUUAAUUUUUUUCAAUCA